UACGUAGGGUGCGAGCGUUAAUCGGAAUUACUGGGCGUAAAGCGUGCGUAGGUGGUUUGUUAAGUCAGGUGUGAAAUCCUCGGGCUCAACCCGGGAACUGCGCUUGAUACUGGCAGACUCGAGUGUGGUAGAGGAUAGCGGAAUUCCCGGUGUAGCGGUGAAAUGCGUAGAUAUCGGGAGGAACAUCAGUGGCGAAGGCGGCUAUCUGGACCAACACUGACACUGAGGUACGAAAGCGUGGGUAGCAAACAGG
rnacentral:rRNA from 1 species